rnacentral:lncRNA from 1 species
CGAGUAUGGCAUGAAUCAAGUUAACCGCUCGGAAGCGGGUGCGAGCUCGGAUAAGGGAAAGGCGCAUCACUCCAGCUGAAGCUGCCAGACAACGAAGAAUAGUAGGAACUCGAGUUGUAGUUGUUCUCUUUUGGUUUCAACUCUGUUUAUAUGUAAACAUAUUAGUAGUUUGGAUGUAAGUUAUGAUCGACCCUGGACUUGUGGGACGAGAGUCGGAUAUUGUAUAAUAUUAAUAUCUAUGCCAGUGUUGUUUUGAUGUCAAAUGCUAGUGAUGAGCCAGAUCCGCAUCCUGCGGAUCUGGGGUCAUCACAGAUAUAGAUAUUAUGCUAAAUAAUUAAUACUAUAUACAGAGUGAAUUUACCCGAUAUUUAAAAAUAAAUUAUAAUUUUUAUCAUCCAUAUACUUAUAUCACGUGAAUUUUAUUUAAUCUAUAUUUUUUAAUAAUACAAUACAUGUCUUAAAUAUUUAAUUUUAAAAUACAAAUGUUAAAUUUUGUUGAUAAUCGGGCUCAUACAUGUUAAAGUGGCCUGCUAUUUUUUUAACUAUUUAAAAUUGUGAUUACAUUUUAAAUAUUUAUACCUUUUUAGUUUUUAAGAUAUUGUUCAAUUUAUUAUAAUUUAAAACUCUGUAUUUUAUUUAGUAAAAUUUUUUCCAAACUGUCGCUAAAAUGUUUGCAAUUUAUCACAAACGUUUACAACCUUGUAUUAUUUGUCCAAAUAUAACUGAUUUAGUUAUACACAUAUAUUUUAUUUCAUUUGGUAAUUGAAAACAUCAAGUAAAAAUUGAGUCAAUCCAAAAUGCAAUUAAAAAUAUUAAGUUCAUAAUAAUAUUAUUAUAAAUAGCAUUUCUUGUACUACAGGAAAAGCAUACUUAAAAUACAUAAAAAUAAAAUUAUUUGUAUUGUGCUCAUGACAUGUGCUUAGCACAAUUGUUUAUUAUUAGCAAAGAACACUGCUUUUUCAAUCUAUUCCUCAGUUGUUUUCCAAACAGCUUUGGAGUUUUGUAACAUUCAAAGGCUUAUAAAAGAGGUGAUCUAAACCGGCCUCCAUGAAAUGAUGUCUUGAGGUUUCAUCAUCACAAGAUGAAACUCCAAUUAUCUUACAUCCCACUCCUAGGCUUCGUAACUUUUUAGUGGCCUGAAAUCAAAUAAUAGACAGCCAAUUAGAUGUUUAGAAAGAAUGUGCAGAAAUCCAUACACACACACAUAUAUAUACACACACAAACUUUAUAUCAGAAAUAUUAAAGAAUUUAUAGAAUAAUAUGCAGAACUAACCUCAAUACCAUUCAUCACCGGCAUUUCCAUAUCUGUAAUUAUAAGAUCGAAAUGCCCUUUCCCAGCUUCAUACAUAUUAACUACCUCUAUGCCAUCAUUGAGUGUUGAAACUUCAAAACCAAAAUAAUUUAAAAGACCUCUGGUUAUAAUUCUAGUUACUGGAUCAUCGUCAACAACAAGGGCCGAUUGUCUUUUAGCAGAAGUCAUGGAACUACCAAGUGGGGAGGCCAUGCUUUAGAUAAUCUGUUCAACAAAAUAAAAAAGAAGAGAGGUUGAAUACAUAAUUAAAAACAAUAACAACAAUCAAAUAUAUAUCUAUAUAUAUACAUAUAAAUAUAAACAUAUAUCAGUUGCAUAGGAAUGAAAAUACUAAACAUUCAGAUACUCCAUAUUCACUUGCCUCGUUGAUUUCUUGAGCUAGAAUACAGAUAGCUGAGAUGAUGAAAAAUAUAACAACAAAGUUUCGAUUUUAUAGGCUUUUGGAGAUUAUCUUGGAUUUUGUGAGAUUAUAAUCAAUUAUUACAGAAAUAAAUUACUUUUCAAAUAUUCGAUUUUGUAGAUUUUAUUGAUAUUUUUUUAAUAAAUCCAGAGAUAAUAAGAUAUGAUAAGAGAUUCUAAAUCUUUGGAUUUUAUAAAUAGAGUGCUCCUCUUAUAACUAACUAAAGAGUAAUGUUACCCAAAUUUUGUUCCAAUUUUUUUCCCCCAAAUAAUCUGGAGAUAACUUAUUUUAAUUGAGCAAUUUAUGAGUAUAGAAGAAGAAUUGUUAACAAUUUUGGACGCUUAGCAUUUUCCUCUAAGUAAAUAUUGCAAGUAGGUUGAUUUACUUUUAUAUGAGGGUGUAAAUUUUUAUGACAUGUAUGUAAUCCGUUUGUUGAAUCUUUACUUUGUUAUCUCUUUUAUGAAUAUAUUUGAGUUUAUUAUAUCUUUAUUUUGUUGAUUGUUGUUAUAUCUUUGUUAUAGGAGUAGUAUUACUUUAUCUUGAUUUAUGUAGGACCAAUAUGAUAUCAAUUUUAUUAUUAUAUUUCUACCACAAUGAUGUCAUAUUUAACUAAAUUGUUUAAGAAAAUGAUAUUUUAUAUACCAGUCAUAAGAGAUUUUUAAAUUUUGUGUGAAGAUUAAAUUCACAUAUCAUGGAUAUCCAAUAUGUAUGAGGCAAUUAUUUUAACAAGUAGAUAUUUUAUUUACAGGUCAUAAGAUUUUCGAAUUUUGCAGAUUAGAUUCUCAUGUCAUGGAUAUCCAAUAUGUAUCAUGAACAAACAUUUCUCACAUAAGAGGUCUUGUUAAUGUUAUAUAUUUUUUAAUUUAUAAUUUCAAUUCAUGUUUAAACUAAUAUUAUUAUAUUAGUUUAAAAAUUAUAAUGACAUAUGUUUAAGAUAGAUUUUUCAAGGAAAUGAUUAACAUAAAAUAUAGUUUUCAGUGUAAUUGAUCUGAUGAAAGUUUUGAAUAGUCUAUCCAAACUUUAAAAAAUAAAGUUGAAAAUUACAAUAUAUUAUUUAUUUUACAUAGACUUUUGUGACACUAUUCAUCCAAAAAGUAAAAUUAUAUGUGUGUGUGUGUCAAAAUUCACUAAAAUUUCCUUCCAUGAAAGUCUGUAGACGAAUUAUUAAAUACAUUUUCUACGCUCUCAAGCCUAGUAUCAGUCUCCUUUGCACCAACUCUAACUAAAGUACUAAACUGUCUCAUAUCCAGCAAAAAGGGAAUUAGUAUAGACCCAGAAUCAGAACCGACCCUACAAAUCUUGGUGCCUACACAAUAUUUGAAAAUAAUAUCUCUAUUUUUAAGAUAGUUAUGUAAAAAAUUACGGACAUUCAAAUUAAUAUACAACUACUUAUUCAAAUACAUGUAAGUAUAUUAACACAUAAAUUUAUCAUUAUAUAUUACAUAUAAUUUUUUGAUGCACGUGGAAAUCUUAUUCUUGGCCAGAAUAAUAUUAAACAAGAUAGUGUUUGAAUGCCUUUUAAUAUUAUUUUUUUUCCAAUGUGUUUAAAUGUUUUUUUAGUAUGGAGUAAAGAUCAGUAUGCUUUUUGUUAGAGUUUCUCGAGAAAAAUGUUUACAUAAUAUUGUAUAGUUCUUUAGCGUGUGUUUAAUUUUAUGUAUUUCCCUUCUCCAAAAGCAACAAAAGCUCAAUCCUAAAACAGACACAUCUACUGCCAUCAAGUAUUGAGAAAUUAAACCAGCUUGUGCUGCACGUACAAUAAUCUUGGUAUAUAUGCAAUAUUAUUGUCUACAUGCACAUCGAGUAUUACCAAGCAUGUGGAGUAUCUAUAUGCGUAAAUCGGGUGCAUCAAAAACAUGAUUUGGUACAGUCUUAGGAGAAUGAAAUCUUGAGAGGAUUCACAUAAUUAAAAAGGGAGGCAUGUUUGCCUACAUGCAGAGAGGAUUACUUUAUGUAUAUAUUUUGACACUUUGACAAGGAUCUACCUUCCACAUUUUCCUGAGGGGGCUAAAGAAAUAUUAUUAGACUAGGAGACCAAUGGUUACCGGUCGAGAAUGAGGAUUUAUUCUAUUAUUGGAUUUGUUUGUAGCAUUAGGGUUUUGAGACUUAUUCAUGGAGUUUGUGGUUGUUUAUGAAUUAGGAUUCGAGGAGUUAGCCACAUCUCUAGAAUAAUCAAGGAUUUGUUGAGAGUGAGAGUCUAGAUUGUUUUAUUUUGGAAAAAGGUUUACAUAUUUUGGAUCCUUUAAUAUUAUAUAUACAUUUGUUUCUAUUAAAUAAAAAUCUAUCUACAAGGAUUUGUACUAAUAUUCAUUUUCAACUUACAGUUUUGCCUAGUUAAAAAUUUUGAUUCAUAAGAUGUUAUAAAGUACCGUACCCUUUAAGUUUCCAUCACGGUAAUUUUAACUUUAUAUUAUUAUUUAAAGAGAUCCAUUAACUUUUUAAUAAUAUAGUGUUAGGAUCUAAGUUUGAGACAUUUUUAAUGCAUUUAAUUUAAUUAAAAAUAUAGAUGUAUUCAGAUAUUUUUUUAAAAAAAAUAUUGUGAAUUUUAAAGAUAAAAGAAAGGUGAUUGACUUGUACUGGUAUAACUUCUUUGGUUUUUAAGGCAUAAGCCGAAAUUGUACCUCUCUUUCACGAGCAAAUUACUAACAAGUUGAACUGUUGAGGCCACCGAGAGAAGCAGAAGAAGCUCUUUCUUGGACAAAGAGAGAUGGAUAUGUGAGUUGUGUAUUUAUGACGGACUCUAAGCUUUAUGUGGACGCACGGAAGAUAAUAUAAUUUUUAUUUUUUCAAUUAGAGAAUAGAGACUGUGUUGAACUGACUAAGCAUUUUGAUGAAAUAAUACUGCAGAUUCGCAUCAAUGUGCGAAUGCAUUAGCUCAUUUGUUAGCUAGAGUUUCUUAUUUUAUAUCAUACACAUUCGCUAGCUAAAAAUCUCAUUUUAUAUCGGACCUACGAGAAUGGAGCGAUAUUGCUCCAAACUUUCUAGCUAGAAAUUCUAAUUAUAUCAUACCUACGAGAAUGGAGCGAUAUUGCUCCUGACUUUCUUUCUGAUGUAUAGUACUUGCCUUUGAUUUGAUUUAACGCAAGUGUGAUCUUUUGAAAAAAAAUAAAAAUUGUACCAAAUAAUUUAAGUAGGCUAUCUAAACAGGAAACACGUCUAAUAAGUUUUAUAAAAAUAAUACUCCGUAUUAAAUAACUUUAUUGAUCAGUAACAUUUAAAAGAAAAAAAGCACGCUUCCUGAGGAAAAAGAAAAGCAUGCUUGAAAUUGAGAACUCCAUUAACUAAUAGAAGUAUUAAAGCACUGCCAAUUCUUCACUUUUUCAAGAGGAAAAUUAGGUUUUCAUCAUCGCAAGAUGACACUCCAAUCACUUGCAGUCUACUCUCAUAGCCAUAACUCCUCAGUGGCCCAAAAAGAAACCGCAUGUAAGUUUAAAUAUAAUUGUACAAGUCCAAAUUUAUAAGUAAUAUUUGCAAAUUAGGUAAAUGUAAUGUUGUUCAAUCAUGCACAUAUAUAGUAUUGGAUUGUGGAUUUAUAGAAUAAUUUUAAAAAACAACCUGGAUACCAUUAAUUAGAGGCAUUUCCAUAUCUGUAAAAUAAUACGAUCGAAAUACCCUUUUCCAGCUUCAUACAUAUUAUCAUCAACAAAAAGUGCAGAUUUUAAGCACUCAUUGAAGUACUGCCGCCUUCAGAAGCUAGCCAUACUUUCAGUGAUCAGCAACUGAGGAAUUUCCAUUUUAUAGGCUUACAGUCGAUUACUUUUGAAAUUUCUAGGAUUAUAAGUUAUAGCAUGCAAUAUUUCCUAUCUGUAUGCGCAAUUUCUCAUAUAAAAUAUACGAAUUAAGCUUGCAAUCCCCAAGUCAAGAUCAUUGUAGUUUAUAUACGUACGUAGCCCUUGGGUUCUUUGCAGAGCCGGCUCCAGCCCUAUGCAGCCCAUGCAAUGGCAUGGGGCCUGCUUAACAAGGGGGCCCAUUUUCAAAUUAAUAAUUAUGUAUAUGUAAUAACAUGCAACCUCUGUUGGUACUCUGCUGCAAAUUAAAAAGCCAAACACAACCCAGUGUCCUUCUUUGCUCAAUUGCUUUGGUUUAAAUAUCUCUUAUCUGAUCUUUAAUCUCUUAACAACAAAAUCACUAAGCAGGAUCAACGCGAACUACAAUUACAAGGCUAUUAGUAGAACUGCAAGAGGAUAUUAAGGAGCUACUUUUAAGAAAUAAAUUCAGUUUUUUUAAUAUACAGGGGCCUAAUUUUUUAUGCUUGCAUAGGGCCUUUUAUUUGUUGGAGCCGGCCCUGGUUCUUUGAAACAAAAGGAGCUCGGUCAGUGUAUAGGCUUUUGAGCCAAUUCAACCACUUCAACUGCUCAUCUCUGCUUGCGAUUGCCUGCCAAGACACUCCAUUAUAUACAUAUAGUACAAGUUUCUAGCUCUGUGGAAAUUGAAGCUCAGACCCUGAAAAUUCAUCCACUUUUCCUUUUAUAAGGUGUUGUUAAUAUCUCAGCUGCAUCUGCCUUAAUCUCAGAAUUUGAGUAUGUUUUGGUUGAGUUGUGUUGGCUUGUUGCUGUUAUAAUACUAUCAUUUUCAAAAAUCAACCUGAAAUUAGUAUAUAAAUCAAUAUUUUCAAAAAUCAAAUCAAAGUUGUAUUUUCAGUUGUAGAAGUUGCCGACCUUAUUUUCGAAAAUAAAAUUUAAAAAAUAGUAAUUUUGAAAUUUUUGGAAAUAUUUUUAAAAAUGUACUCCCUCGGUCCCCUCAUUUGUUUACAUUGGGGGACGGGGCUCCGCACGCAUUCUAAUGCUCUCGUAAAACGUUUUCUUCUCAAUAAAAAUUUGAUGUUUAAAAUUAUAUAAAAAAAAGCAAAAAUAAGUUAUAGAACUAUGUUUUAUAUGCGACUUAAAAUGCGUGUCGAGCUGAAAAACCUGUAAACAGGGUCGGCGGCUCAACAGUGAAGCCAACUAAGCGGUUGCUUAGGGGCCCACCAUAAAAAGGGGCCUCGAAUUUUAUAGAGUUAUAUCUCUCUAUAUUAUAAAUCCUGUUGCGUUUUUUGCUACUAAAAGACUAAAUUGUCCCUCUACAUUUUCCGUAUUCACAUCCAUAUGCCACUCUUUCCGCUUCAACUUUAUACACUCAAUCCAUUUCAUCCGUUGAUUUCAAAAGCAGAGCCGCGUGUCACCUCUUCCACUCCUCUCUUUCGUUUCUUGAUUUUAUUUCAAAUUUGAAUCUCGCUGUGUGUAUCUGUCUCUAUCUCUCCUUCUUACUCUCAUAUGUUUCUCUCUCAUAUUUUAACAUAUAGUCAUUGAUGAUUGAUUGUUCUUGCAGAAGCUGUUGGGAGUCACAGUGAAAAUCACAGCAACAAUGUAUAGAGCAGUUAUAUUAUAUAAACAAGUGUAGGCCAACGAAACCACAACAAUAUAGCAUGCACGAAGAUCGUAUAUACAAUAAUCAGUGACUGAUAAAUUACAAGAAAAGAAGAGAAAGGCGCACCUUACACCGUCGCUAGAAUUAGUAUACAGAACAGCUGAGUCGCCUAGCCCUUCGAUGAAGACUAGACUGUUCUUGAAGUGAUUAUUGCCCCACUACGCUGUGAUGGGUAGUCGCAAUAUCGCUCCCAGGAUAAAACAGCACAGACCGAACCGCUCACAGACACGAGUACGAUCAACAGCGAUCAACACCUCAGUUCGCCCGAGAACAGUAUGUAUAUGUGUAUAUAUCGGAGUAGAUGGUGAGAGUGUAAGAGAGAAGAAUGAGAAUGGUGUUUGUGUUUUUCCCGUGCUACAACUCAAGUGUCGAGGCUCACUAUUUAUAGUGAGGCCAAGGCACCAACACACUGUCCAGAUUCAUUUGUCCAGGUUCAAUGAAUCUGUAUCUGUCAGACAUUCUGACCAGAUUCAUUUGUCCAGGUUCAAUGAAUCUGUAUCUGUCAGACAUUCUGACCAGAUUCAUUUGUCCAGGUUCAAUGAAUCUGUAUCUGUCAGACAUUCUGACCAGAUUCAUUUGUCCAGGUUCAAUGAAUCUGUAUCUGUCAGACAUUCUGACCAGAUUCAUUUGUCCAGGUUCAAUGAAUCUGUAUCUGUCAGACAUUCUGACCAGAUUCAUUUGUCCAGGUUCAAUGAAUCUGUAUCUGUCAGACAUUCUGACCAGAUUCAUUUGUCCAGGUUCAAUGAAUCUGUAUCUGUCAGAUAUACUGACCAGAUUCAUUUGUCCAGAUUCAAUGAAUCUGUAUCUGUCAGAUAUACUGACCAGAUUCAUUUGUCCAGAUUCAAUGAAUCUGUAUCUAUCAGAUAUACUGACCAGAUUCAUUUGUCCAGAUUAAAUGAAUCACAUUCUCAUUUCAAGCUCUUUCAAGCCACUGUAUUCAACUCUAUUUCUCAAUGGAUUUCACUAAGAAAAUGUCCCGGAAAUUACAUCAAGAACAUAUUAAAAAAUAUGCUUUAAACUUUCCAUUUUCUAACAAUCCCCCACAAAUCCAUAUAGAUAUGCAUAUUAGUCCUCAUCAUGACUUGUUUUUCAGAGUAGGUACCCUUCCGGGUUUGAACCCUCCUAAGUCCCCUACUUCGAUGGCUACCGGAUAUAGAUGGAUUGUUUCACCUUGAAUCUCUAUCCGUUGGGUGUAACCACACUCCAUAGACGACGACAAGUCAAAGGCUAUGGUGCCGAUCUACGGCUUUGAGACAUUAAUGGUCGUGUCUCGAUCCUGUUCGUCGAAUGUUUCAAGGAAUAACCCUUUCCUCUAAUUGCGACCUCACAAUUACAUUCGCUUAGCUGGGCAUCUCCAGAGAUGUACUGCAACCAUCUCGUCAAAUGACUUGACCCCAUUCAGAGUUCUAAAAACUCUUGCUAUACUUGCAGUGUCAGUACCUUUUAGGUUUGCAGGGGAUAGACUCAGAUGCAUAAGUAUCUACAUUGUAGUUAAAGGUACUACCGAUCCACCCUUACAGCUUGUUUACCACAUUGAAUACACUUUGAGGGAUCUCCUCUCAGAUGUAUUGGGUUCCCGCUGUAGAUGAAUCAUGAUGGGUUAUCAGUCCCAUCCCCAACCUUGACUUAAGGACAACAGCAUGCUCAAGCCCUUUAGUCAGUGGAUCAGCUAUGUUAUCUUGAGUUCCAAUGAACUCAAUAGCAAUAGUCCGAUCAGACACCAAACCCCUUAUAGACUUAAGUCUAACUUGGAUGUGUCUCUUUGUUUUAGCAUUAUACUUGACACUUCUGAUCUUGUCGAUAGUUGUACGGCUAUCACAAUGAACAGAAAUUGCCGGUAGCGGACGACUUACUACAGGUAACACAGACAUGAGUCCAUGUAACCAUUCAGCCUCCGUACCCGUGGCAUCCAAUGCACACAACUCGGCCUCAAACGUAGACCGAGUUACUAUAGUCUGUCUAGUCGACUUCCAGGAUACUGCUCCACCCGCAAGGGUAAACAGAUAUCCAGUCACUCCAUUGGAACCAGACUUCUUAGCUAUCCAACUUGCAUCACUAUAUCCCUCAAGCACACUCGGAUAUCUCCUGUAGUGCAACCCAAGAUAUAUGGUGCCUUUCAGAUAUCUAAGUACUCUAUCUAGAGCAUCCCAAUGAGUUCUGUUUGGACAGCUUGUAUAUCUUGCUAACUUAGACACAGAAUAUGUUAUAUCUGGUCUAGUACCAUUAGCAAGAUAUUGCAAACUACCAAUAAUCUGAGAAUAUCUUAACUGAGACACAGGUACACCUGAAGCAUUCUUGAUAAGAGCAACUUUAGGAUCAUAUGGUGUACUAGCAAUUCUACAAUUUGAAUAACCAUACUUCUCAAGUAUAGAUUUCUCUAUAUAAUGAGAUUGUGACAAGGUUAUUCCCUCAGUUGACUGAGUCAACUUGAGUCCAAGAAUCACAUUCGCCUCACCCAUGUCCUUCAUUUCAAAGUGUUUUUUCAAGAAAUUCUUUGUCUCGUUAAUAAUCUCAAUAUUGGUUCCAAACAGUAGUAUAUCAUCCACAUACAAGCACAACACAAUAUGUUCAUUUCCUUUAACCUUAUAGUAGACACACUUGUCAUUAUCAUUAACUAUAAAAUCAAAAGUCAAAACAGUGUCAUCAAACUUUUUGUGCCAGUCUCUAGGUGCUUGUUUCAAGCCGUAGAUGGAUUUGACUAACUUACAUACUUUGCUCUCAUUGCCAGAUGCAACAAAUCCCUCAGGCUGAUCCAUAUAAAUCUCUUCUUCAAGAUCACCAUGAAGAAAAGCUGUCUUUACAUCCAUUUGAUGGAUGAUAAGACCAUGUACGGAAGCCAAUGCUACAAGCAUUCGGAUCGUUGUCAAUCUUGCAACAGGAGAGUAUGUAUCAAAGUAGUCAAUACCUUCUCUUUGCCUAAAACCUUUAGCAACCAAUCUAGCUUUAUACUUAUCUAUUGAGCCAUCUGGUUUCAUCUUCCUUUUGAAGAUCCACCUACAUCCUAUAGUAGAACACCCAGGAGGGAGGUCAACCAACUCCCAUGUUCCGUUAGAAACAAUAGAGUCAAUUUCACUCUUCACAGCGCCUUUCCAGUGCCUAGAUUCCGAAGAAUCCAUGGCUUGUCGGAAAGUCAAAGGUUCGUCCUCGACAUUGUAAGUGAUAAAAUCACUUCCAAAGUCCUUAACUACCUUUGCACGCUUGCUCCUUCUAGGUUCCUCAACUUCAUUAGGAGUAGAGCUACUAGUAGGAUCUGCCCCCACAUUUGUCAUCUUUUCCACAUGAUCGGGAAUAGAACUAGAUGUGUGAGUAGGAUCAUCACUAGAAGAACUUUGAGGUAUACCAGUCUUCAUAGGGAACACAUCCUCAAAGAAUGUUGCAUCACGAAACUCAACUAUCGUGUUUGCCACUAUACCAUCUAUGUCAGAUUUUAAUACUAAAAAUCUCAUAGCUGUAGUGGUUUCGAGAUAGCCCAGAAAGAUACAAUCAACAGUUUUCGGCCCUAGUUUCUUUCUCUUGUGUUCAGGGACAAGUACCUUCGCAAGGCACCCCCACACACGAAGAUACUUUAGACUAGUUUUCCUGCCUUUCCAUAAUUCGUAAGGUGUCUUGUCCAUAUGUUUCAGAGGGACUCUAUUCAGAAUAUGGCAAGCCGUAUUCAGAGCCUCCCCCCACAUGUACUUAGGCAACCCCGAAUUAAUCAACAUACUGUUAAUCAUAUCUUUAAAAGUUCUGUUCUUUCGUUCUGCCACCCCAUUAGACUCAGGUGUAUAUGGUGGAGUCACCUCAUGAAUUAUACCAUUGCUCUUGCAAAAUUCAUUAAAGGUGUUUCCCGUAUAUUCACCACCUCUAUCAGAUCUCAAACGUUUAAGUACUUUACCAGUUUGUGUUUCAACUUCAGUUUUAAAUCUAAUGAAUUUUUCAAGUGCUUCAUCUUUAUGUUUAAGCAAAUAAACAUAACAAUAUCUACUACAAUCAUCUAUAAAGGUAAUGAAAUAUCUACAGUGUUCCUUAGUCAACACACCACCAAAUUCACAUAUGUCCGAGUGCACUAAAUCUAACAAGUCAGAAUCCCUAACCACACUAUGAAAAGGUUUCCUUGUUAGUUUAGCUGUCACACAUACUUGACAUUUAGUUUUCUUAUCAAUGGCAUGCUUUGGAAUCAACUCUAAGUUCAUCAUAUUCUUUAGAGCACCAAAAUUUAAAUGACCAAGCCUAGAGUGCCACAAAUCGGAUGAUUCAAUAUUAUUAACAGAAGGAGAAGCAAUAUCAUUAAUAAAACCGCCUAAAACAGGCUCCACAUUUAUUAAAAACAAGCCGUCUGACAAGUAGCCCUUGCCAAAAAACACACCAGUCUGAGUAAUAACUACUUUAUUACACUUUAAAGAAAGUUCAAAGCCAUUUUUAACUAAACAACUUCCACUAAUAAUAUUUCUACGAAUCUCGGGAACAUGAUGCACUCUAGUAAGGGAUAGAACACGCCCUGAAGCAAACUUCAGGUCCACGUUUCCUAUUCCACGAACUUGAGCCGCACUAGCAUUCCCCAUCGUCACUGUCAUCCCAUGAGCCUGUUGAUAAGAUACAAACAGAGUAAUAUCAGCACAAAUGUGCACAUUAGCUCCCGUAUCAAUCAACCACUCAUUAGACAGAUAAGUGGAAAAUAGUUCAGGGUUGUACUUAACAUACCCGUCAUUGGUUUCAGAAGCAACAGCCUCACCAACAACCAUGUUAAGCACAGGCCCAUCAGUGGUUCCAAGCACAGUAUUUGCUUGUGCUACCACCUCAGCUUUCUUUGCUUUCUUUACAGGACAGUCCUUACUCCAAUGACCAACCUGUCCACAAGACCAACAUGGUUUGUUGGCCUUUGAUUUCUUAGCCUUGCCCUUGUCAGUUUUGGGCUUAGUGUUCACCUUCUUAGCGACAGACUUUCUUUUCUGUCCCACAGUCACUACAUUGACCUUCGAGCUACCAGAUUCAGUUGGCAUCACAUGUCCCUGUUUGGACUUGUGCUGCUCCUGCACAGAGAUGUCCAGCAUCAGGUUAGUCCAAGUGAUCUCUCCCUUCUGCCUUUUCAGGGAGAGUGCAAACUCUUCCCAAGACUUAGGGAGUUUUUCAAUCACAGACAUAACCAAAAACUUUUCAGGAAGGUCCAUUCCGGACUCCUUCAAAGCAUGCACCAACGUCUCAAACUCAUGCACCUGCUCAGUCAUGGAUUUUGUAUCCACCAGUUUGAAGUCCAGGAACUUAGCCACAGAAUACUUUUCCAACCCUUGCGAGUCAGUAUUGUGUGUCUGAUCAAGUUUCUCCCACAAGGUCUUAGCAGUGUAGGAGUCAGAUGAGUAAACAUCGAACAGAGUGUUCGUUAAGGCUGCUAGAAUAGCAGCCCUAGCCACCCCAUCCUUUUCCUCCCACAUAGCAUAGGCCUUAAGGGUUUCAGCCUUUUCCUGUACCACAACUGGUUUCUCAUACUGCAACACCGGCCAUAGACCCUUAACCGUAAGCCACAGUUUCAUCUUUUUCUGCCAACGAGAAAAAGAAACUCCCCCACCGAAUUUAUCAGGAAUACCUGAUAAAUCAAUGGGCUGUGGAAAACGAUACGUAGUCCAAUCGAUGUUACUAGUAACACCAGACCCAGAACCAGCACCACCACCAACAACAGAAUCCGCAAUCUCAUUAACCAUCUUGCUUACUACACAAUAUAACAGAUAAUCACUUCAAGAUUGUUGGGAGUCACAGUGAAAAUCACAGCAACAAUGUAUAGAGCAGUUAUAUUAUAUAAACAAGUGUAGGCCAACGAAACCACAACAAUAUAGCAUGCACGAAGAUCGUAUAUACAAUAAUCAGUGACUGAUAAAUUACAAGAAAAGAAGAGAAAGGCGCACCUUACACCGUCGCUAGAAUUAGUAUACAGAACAGCUGAGUCGCCUAGCCCUUCGAUGAAGACUAGACUGUUCUUGAAGUGAUUAUUGCCCCACUACGCUGUGAUGGGUAGUCGCAAUAUCGCUCCCAGGAUAAAACAGCACAGACCGAACCGCUCACAGACACGAGUACGAUCAACAGCGAUCAACACCUCAGUUCGCCCGAGAACAGUAUGUAUAUGUGUAUAUAUCGGAGUAGAUGGUGAGAGUGUAAGAGAGAAGAAUGAGAAUGGUGUUUGUGUUUUUCCCGUGCUACAACUCAAGUGUCGAGGCUCACUAUUUAUAGUGAGGCCAAGGCACCAACACACCGUCCAGAUUCAUCUGUCCAGGUUCAAUGAAUCUGUAUCUGUCAGACAUUCUGACCAGAUUCAUUUGUCCAGGUUCAAUGAAUCUGUAUCUGUCAAACAUUCUGACCAGAUUCAUUUGUCCAGGUUCAAUGAAUCUGUAUCUGUCAGACAUUCUGACCAGAUUCAUUUGUCCAGGUUCAAUGAAUCUGUAUCUGUCAGAUAUACCGACCAGAUUCAUUUGUCCAGAUUCAAUGAAUCUGUAUCUGUCAGAUAUACUGACCAGAUUCAUUUGUCCAGAUUAAAUGAAUCACAUUCUCAUUUCAAGCUCUUUCAAGCCACUGUAUUCAACUCUAUUUCUCAAUGGAUUUCACUAAGAAAAUGUCCCGGAAAUUACAUCAAGAACAUAUUAAAAAAUAUGCUUUAAACUUUCCAUUUUCUAACAGAAGCUUGAUUCUAGGGUAUUUUGAGGAGUAUAGAUUUAUGAUUUAGCUGUUUGACUGACGAUUCUCUCUGUUGUGUGCCCCUUUUUUCUAGGAUUUCAAGCGCUGCUUCGCCGCUGGGAAAUCAAUUAUCCUAUUAAAUCUAUCUUUCUCGCCGGAGCUGGUAAUCUCUCUAACCUCUCUUCGUUUUUUAAUUCAAUUUACUUUAAUUACGUUUAAUUAGGGUCCUAUAGUUGUUUUUUACUGUCGGAUCUAAUGCUCUUUUGAUCCGAUUUGUGCUUUUCAUUAUUAGACGAGGUGGUAAAUACAGCUUUAUUAUGUGCUUUUCGAUGAAUAUAAUCAAAAGGCUGUGUUAUAAUUGAUCAACUGUUCUUUAGUGGUUUGAAUCGUGUAGUUGGAUCUGUAAUUUGUUUUGUAUAUUUGUUGGAUUUGACUGACAAUGAGAGCAUUGUAAAGUUGUAUGAUUCCGUGUCUUUUUGGAGCAGCUUGUGUGAUUGUGUACAAAUAAAUGAAACAUGUUUUUUUAUAAACUAUUUAAAAGUUCAAUUUUAAAGUAAGUCAUAAUCAUAGCACAUCAUUGGAUGAUAGAGAUAUAUCGUCUAAUUUAAAUUAUGGAACAUGAACAUGAUUAUUUUUAAGACAAUUUGAAUAUAUUAGUUUCCGGUAUGGACAUAAACAGAAACGGCAAGCACUGAUUGUUUGCAAAGAAAUAGCUAUAGGAUUUGGUAAAGUCUCAAAAAUCAGAGAGAGAAGCGGGUUAUGUUCAAAAAGAAAGAGAACGACAAAGAAGAUUAAUGUAGAUGUAAGUAAACAGGAAAAAUAAACACCACUACAUAUAUUAUAUAUCGAGUUAAAUUUUAAUAUUAACACAUUAAAUUUAUAAAAUAAUUUUUCAUUCGAAAGAAUAAUGCCUGCCCUUGCGAAGCGGGCAAGCAUACUAGUAUGUAUAUUUAGGGUAUAAUAGUUAAAUUUUGAUUUGUAUUUAUGAAAAAGAAUAUUUAAAAUAAAUAUGAAUUAUUGCACUUUUAAAGGAAAAUAUAUAAAUAAUAAAAUACUAAUAAAUAUAAAUAAGAUUAAAUUAAAAACAUGAAAAUUCGAUGAACCAAAUGAUUUUGAAUUUGUCAGUGAUAAGUGUAAAUACUUAAUAAAUGUAAUAAACGUAUCUUUUGAAUGAAUAAUAUCUAUUUUUUUCAUAAGUUUUACGUUAUUAUAAAUCAUGUGAUUUCUAUCUUUUGUGUUAUAAUACUUUCUUAGAAUUUAACUAAUUUAAAUAUUAUAUUAAUAUACAAAAUUAAAAAAAUAAAAAGAACAAUAUACGAAAUGAUGUAUAAAUUUUGUGUGAAAUGUAAAUAUAAUUAUUAUGUCCUCAUAAAUAAUUUUUAUGUAUAAUUAUUUUAUAAGAUCUAAAAUAUAAACUAUUUCAAAUAUAAAAAUAAGUAUUGCAUAAAAAUUUAUUAUAAAUAAUAUAUAAACUGAUAUAAUAGAAUAUUUUUAUAUAUUAGAAAAAGGCCCCCAUUGAAAUUUCUCUCAUAUUUAGUUGAGCCGCCUGACUAUAAAGAAAUGAGAGGGACAGAGGAUUGAGUAAUUUCCCCAUAUUUUAAAGUCUUGAAAUUCAUUUACAAGUGAAAUUCAUUUACCUUCGGUCUGAUUUAACAUAUGAAGAGAAGCAUGUAGAAAUUGUGGAUUCUAAGUUUCAGGAAUUAAGAAAUAAGAAAGUAAAAUUGGUUAAAGUAAUUUGGCGGAAUCAAGCUGUAUAAGAAGCCACGUGGGAACGGGAAGAAACCAUGAAAGAGAAAUAUCCAGAGUUGUUUCAACAUCAAAUCUGAUUCCGAGAUCGGAAUCCUUUAAAGGAGGGAAGAAUGUAACAACCGAGAAAUUUCAAGUACGUAAAUAAAUUAGUUAUUUAAUUUUAUGCGGUUGAAGUUAUUAUUUAAGUAAUUGUGAAAUUAUUAUUUAAUAAAAUAUGGUUACGAAAAAUAUUUCUGGCUAGUACGAGGUUUGUUUAUACCGACUAGCAAGCUAAAUCCAUUUUCGUACCAUUAGGAUUCUAAUAUUGGCUACGUAAAUAAAUUGAUAGAAGUAUAAUUUUUGUUACAACCCGGGUAUAUUUUAUAAAUAUUACAGUUAGCCAGAAUAAAUAUUUCGUACCAACUAUUUUGUGAGAUUACGAAAUAUUUAGAAGAUAAUAGAAUAGUUAGUCAUUUAAUUAUUUUUUAUCAUAUAUAUAUUUAUAUAUAUAUUCAAUUUAUUUUAUUAAACUUCGGUAUAAUAUUUUAAUGUUUUUAAAUAUGAAGCGGAGAUCAAAAUAUUCAGGAAUAAAAGGAGCUGAAUAAAUUAAAACCGAAAUAUUGAUUUGCGUGCUAGUUAAAUAAUAAUAUAAUAAAAUAAAUAUAUAACAAACCGACUAAAAGAAAAACCAGCAGCUGGUAUUACAGCAUACUGGAUUUGAGCACAUAGGUUGUAUUGAGUAGCCUCCAAGUAAAGUUAACCAUAGUUAAGUAUAAGCUAACCACAAUUAAGGAGUACUAUAAAUAGGGAUUUGAAAUGCCUAUGUCUUGUCUUGAUUAUUUUGUAAAUCAAGCUUUUCAUUGAUGGUGACAUGUGAUAAGUAGAUUAUUUAAUUGUUUUAAAUGGAAAAGUUUCUGAUACUCUCAAGAUUUUGAUGAUGACACUAACAGCAAGCUAAUAACAUGAAGAUGAAACUGAUAUGUGUAAGCCUGCUAUCAAAGGUUGGUUAUGCGGACUAACAGUAUUUCAGGAUAUUAGCAUGAUUGUAACUGUCAGCAAGCUUACAGGGAUGUUUACAAGCUAUCAGCAGGCUUACAGCGUGAACAGAGAAACAAUCGGAUAAAAAUCAAAGUCUAUUUUCAUGGAGAUUUAAUAGGAAACGAAUUGUAAGGAUUCUAAUAUUUGUAUAUAUCUUAUAUAAAUAUUAGAGCUCAGAUUUAUAAAGAGUUUUUAUUCAAAAAUGUUUUCCUAACUAAUAGGAGAUUUUAUCUCAAAUCGAUCUUAUCUAAAAACUCCUAUCUAGUUUAAAGCUGUUGGAUUUUGUUUAAAUACUUUACUGAGGUGAUUUCAAACGUGGAUUAUCUUUUACUCAGUAAACUUAUGUCAUCCAAACGUUCAUCAUUCAAAUCAAAUUUAAACGUGAGGUUGUUACCAAGAUCGUUGGAAAUUUGUUGGAUUAUGACCGUUGGUGUGAUGUAUAUAUACUUGAGUGUGGUUUCGGUUUUAUAACAAGGAGAACACACCAAGCUUUCUGAAAUACAACUCCUUACAUUGCUAAAUCUUUCCUUGAGCUCUAGUACUUAUAUUUGCAUAUAUAUCUAUAUUAAGACUUCAUAGUUUCGGUUGUAUUACACUUAUUCAUUGUAUUGUUCAAGGUGUAAUGUUUUGUUGCUGUGUAUCCAGCUUGUGAAACAAGGGAACAAGAGAACUAGUUAGCUAGGAGAAUAUACUUGGGAAGUAUAGGUCUUGAUAGGCUUUUGAUUCGUGGUUCAGGGGUUUCAGCAGGCUGAUAACAGGAACAAGGGUUGAAGGGAGUUAUAUUAUUGAAUCUUGUAAUCGUUGACAUUUCUUGAUUAAUAAUAUAAUCUCUUACCAGUUGGUAGGGGACCAGGACGUAGACCAUUAGGGUUAGGGGUCGAACCUGGCUAAAACUCUUGGUGUUGCUAGCAUACUGCUUUAUAUUCUCUGCAUUGCAUUUCUAUUGUUAGCUAGCUGACUGUUUAUUCUGAAACUUAACAGCAGGCUGUCAUUGACAGAUUAAUUAUUCGGUAACUUAUAAAAAUCGGGUAUAUUAGCCAUAACACAUAUUCAACCCCCCUCUAAGUGUGUAAUUUCAGUUUCCACCUAAGUUGGAUGCCGAGUUUCAGUUUAUAAACCAAAUAAACAAACACGUACAUCAACAUAUACUAUCACAUCUAGAUUAGGUAUAUAAUUUGAUUAAUAUAGUUUUUCCCAAAUCACCUCUAGGGUUUCUUAUCAAAAGUUGGGGGAAAUUUUGUGAAUUGAAUAAUUGAUUGUUGGUUGUGGUUGUUGAUUAUGUAAAAGAGAUAAGCUGGGAGGGGGAAGGCUGGAGUCGGCCAUGGCACCACCGCCAGUGGCGACUCCCGGCGAAAAAGCNNNNNNNNNNNNNNNNNNNNNNNNNNNNNNNNNNNNNNNNNNNNNNNNNNNNNNNNNNNNNNNNNNNNNNNNNNNNNNNNNNNNNNNNNNNNNNNNNNNNNNNNNNNNNNNNNNNNNNNNNNNNNNNNNNNNNNNNNNGACGGCAACGCCGCCUGACUUUGGGCCAGCAAAGGCCGUGGAGAAGAAGAAGCGAAGGGGGGAGGGGGGAUUUUUGCAGGGGCAGGGUGGUAAUUUCCGCAGUGGAAAUUAUUUAAUAAAAUAAAAUGAUAAUGGUAAUAAUAAAUUGGGUAGUUAAAAUAUUUGAGAAAUACGAAAAUGAUGGGGUAGUAUAUAAAACGAGAAUUAGUUAAUAAUAAUCAAUUUAGUUAAGAAGAACAAAAUUAGGCAAGAUAUUAAGUCAAUGUGGGAUAAUAAUAAUAUGUGAAUAGUGAAAGAGUUUGAUCGUUAGUUUGGUAUUAAAUACAAACCACUACUAAUAUAUAAUACACUUGUAAAUUGAAUUUGAGAGAUAAUGUUACAUUUAAAUUAAUAAAAUAAUAUGUAGUGAGAUUUGCGAAUUAGUAAAAUUAUAAUUGCGUUCCAGGAGUUUAGUUACGGAUAUUAUAUUGCAAAAAGGUAAGUACGCUAGUGUUGUGAGAUUUUAAGUGCAAAAGCAAAUUUCAACUAAAAAUCAAAAUAAGUGUACAAAUAAAAGGUACAAGUCGAAAGGUUAGGAAUUUAAUUAAUAAAAUGAUUAAAUACUCUAAUUUGAUUGAAAGGAUAUAAUCAAUUCACCAGACUUAGGAUAUUAGUUAUCAAAUCAUUAGCUAUAUUUUUGGGAUAAUUUACUUCUAACAAAUAUUCUAAUCACUAUCACUACGUGAUUUAGAAUAUUUAAUAUCGAAAGGGCGGAGCCAAGUUAUAAAUCAGAGAAUAUCUUGUCAAGCUAGGGACCGAGGCAAGUUCACUAUCUCUAUUUUUAUUUAAGUUGUUUUAAUUAUUUUAAUUGUUUGAUUAAAUAAUGUUUUAAAUACCUUGACUACGUCCUUCGUUCCAUCAUAAGUUUAUUAAAUCAUUUGAGAUGAACACCCGAGAUUUGAUUAAAUAUUUACCCUUACUUUCGUUCGGGAAUGGUUAAAGAUUUAUUUCACAUAGAAGAUGUAUUGUUCACAUCUUCUAGUAAAUAGUGAUUGAUGGAUUAGUUAAAGAUUCGUUUCUGAUAGAAGAUGUAUUGUUCACAUCUUCUGAUUUACAAUGAUUGCUUAAUAAAUCAGAAGAGUUUUUCGGAGAAUGUUCUUUCUACUCGGAGAAUUCUUGUUCGGCUGGUCAACACGAAUUUAUUAAAUUCGUGGUAGAGAUGAAAGUUGUUAUCUGGUAAAGGCAGAUAGUAGGGUUCCAGUGUUAAACCCUGAUGCUAGCAAAGAGAGUGUUGGUGUGUCUUUAGUGGUGACGAUCAGACCACUAGGACUACACAGGAGAACGAUAUUCACGAAAUGGUAUUUGAUCGAACCAUGUAGUGGUAUCGAGAGGUCGGAAGACCAGCAAUUCUUUGAUUUAAAACUUGUUCUGGUAUUUGAUGCUUUGUUGAUGUAAACUGUUUUCUGUGCCCUAAAUGCAUAAAUUGAUAAAUGUUAUCUUCAAUUAUGUGAGCUUGCUGAGCAUGUAAGUGCUCAUUCUUGCAUCUAUGUUUUUAUCAACUAGCAGUAAAAAGCGAGUAUGGCACGAAUCAAGUUAACCGCUCGGAAGUAGGUGCGAGCUCGGAUAAGGGAAAGGCGCAUCACUCCAGCUGAAGCUGCCAGACAACGAAGAAUAGUAGGAACUCGAGCUGUAGUUGUUCUCUUUUGGUUUCAACCCUGUUUAUAUGUAAUCAUAUUAGUAGUUUGGAUGUAAGUUAGACGAUCGACCCUGGACUUGUGGGGCGAGAGUCGGAUAUUGUAUAAUAUUAAUAUCUAUGC